AGCGGCGGACGGGUGAGUAACACGUGGGUAACCUGCCCAAGAGACUGGGAUAACACCUGGAAACAGAUGCUAAUACCGGAUAACAACACUAGACGCAUGUCUAGAGCUUGAAAGAUGGUUCUGCUAUCACUCUUGGAUGGACCUGCGGUGCAUUAGCUAGUUGGUAAGGUAACGGCUUACCAAGGCAAUGAUGCAUAGCCGAGUUGAGAGACUGAUCGGCCACAUUGGGACUGAGACACGGCCCAAACUCCUACGGGAGGCAGCAGUAGGGAAUCUUCCACAAUGGACGAAAGUCUGAUGGAGCAACGCCGCGUGAGUGAAGAAGGGUUUCGGCUCGUAAAGCUCUGUUGGUAGUGAAGAAAGAUAGAGGUAGUAACUGGCCUUUAUUUGACGGUAAUUACCUAGAAAGUCACGGCUAACUACGUGCCAGCAGCCGCGGUAAUACGUAGGUGGCAAGCGUUGUCCGGAUUUAUUGGGCGUAAAGCGAGUGCAGGCGGUUCAAUAAGUCUGAUGUGAAAGCCUUCGGCUCAACCGGAGAAUUGCAUCAGAAACUGUUGAACUUGAGUGCAGAAGAGGAGAGUGGAACUCCAUGUGUAGCGGUGGAAUGCGUAGAUAUAUGGAAGAACACCAGUGGCGAAGGCGGCUCUCUGGUCUGCAACUGACGCUGAGGCUCGAAAGCAUGGGUAGCGAACAGGAUUAGAUACCCUGGUAGUCCAUGCCGUAAACGAUGAGUGCUAAGUGU
rnacentral:rRNA from 1 species